UUGAACGCUGGCGGCAUGCCUUACACAUGCAAGUCGAACGGUAGAGUAGCAAUACUCGAGAGUGGCGAACGGGUGAGUAAUAUAUCGGAACGUGCCCAGUCGUGGGGGAUAACGUAGAGAAAUUUACGCUAAUACCGCAUACGAUCUAAGGAUGAAAGCGGGGGACUCGCAAGGGCCUCGCGCGAUUGGAGCGGCUGAUAUCAGAUUAGGUAGUUGGUGGGAUAAAAGCUUACCAAGCCGACGAUCUGUAGCUGGUCUGAGAGGACGACCAGCCACACUGGGACUGAGACACGGCCCAGACUCCUACGGGAGGCAGCAGUGGGGAAUUUUGGACAAUGGGCGAAAGCCUGAUCCAGCCAUGCCGCGUGCAGGAUGAAGGCCUUCGGGUUGUAAACUGCUUUUGUACGGAACGAAAAAGUCUUCUCUAAUACAGGGGGCGAAUGACGGUACCGUAAGAAUAAGCACCGGCUAACUACGU
rnacentral:rRNA from 1 species